ACCAAAGAUGCCAUUCCUUGCGAAUGGGUUGGUUCUCAGGUGGUUGAUGACUUGCCGAAGUCUGUGACGAGCAUAAGUGGUGGUGAAUCCGAGUCCCCGAAUCUGCAGUCUACCCAUCAGGAAGUCAAAGAGAGUAAUCAAUCCUCAAAGACUUGUAGUAAUGCUGCUGUGGAUGCCAUGGUGUCGGACGAUGCAUGUACUAGGAAGGAUGGCUCUCAUUCGGGUUUUGAUGAUGACUGCCAGUCGGUGAAUUCUGCCAAUGAUAAGAAUGGUUUGGUACACGAGCAGCAACAUGUAGUUGUGUCCGAUGAAACUGUAAAAGAACAAGGCAUUUCCGCUUCGGUUGCAGCAUCAGUUGGAAAUGGUUCAGAUGCUGAAACCAA
rnacentral:misc_RNA from 1 species